rnacentral:rRNA from 1 species
UCCUGGCUCAGGAUGAACGCUGGCGGCGUGCCUAAUACAUGCAAGUCGAACGAGGGUGCUUGCACCCUAGUGGCGAACGGGUGAGUAACACGUAGGUAACCUGCCCUUAAGCUUGGGAUACCCAGAGGAAACUUUGGCUAAUACCGGAUAACAACAGAAGAGGCAUCUCUUCAGUUUGAAAGGCCCUUUACGGGGUCACUUAAGGAUGGACCUGCGGCGCAUUAGCUAGUUGGUGAGAUAACAGCCCACCAAGGCGAGGAUGCGUAGCCGACCUGAGAGGGUGAUCGGCCACAUUGGAACUGAGACACGGUUCAAACUCCUACGGGAGGCAGCAGUAAGGAGUUUUCGGCAAUGGGGGAAACCCUGACCGAGCAACGCCGCGUGAGUGAUGACGGCCCUAUGGGUUGUAAAGCUCUGUUGUAAGGGACGAAUGAUUCGCUUAGGAAAUGAAGCGGAUUUGACGGUACCUUACCAGAAAGCCACGGCUAACUACGUGCCAGCCGCCGC